ensembl:lncRNA
GGGCAUCCUAGGAGCAAACUGUAAGCAGGCCCCAGCAAAGUCCAGGUGUAGGAGGCAAAGAGAGGACUCUACCUGUGACAGCCUGUUAUAGGCUGGACUGUCUGUUCUUCCCAAAUUUAUGGUUGGAGUCCUAAUUCUCAGAACCUCAGCAUAUGACUGCAUUUGGAGAUAAAGACUUUAACGAGGCAAUUAAGGAGAUCUUCCUGACCCAGGGAUUGAACCCAUGUCUCCUGCGUCAACAAGCGGAUUCUUUACCACUGAGCCAUCUGGGGAGCCCGGAAAUUAAGCAGCUCAAUCUAAAACGGGUCUGAGAGAAUUCUGAAGCACCACUUUGGGAUAAAAUACACUGCCUAGUCAAUUCAUAAAGGCAAAACUGGAUUUAUUCUGCAAAACAGUUCAGCCAGAACUUGGGUUCCAAACUCUAGUGCUGUACUGGGGCAAUGGAAACUUUCCAGCCACAGCUUGAAGCUGGGCGCCAAGCACAACACUGAGGCAAAGAAGACAUUUGAGACCAAACCAGACAGUGAUCUUGGCACAACCUGUCCCUGAGCUCAGGACGUCAGCGGCUGUGGGGUGGUGAUGUAGCCUUCAGAGGUCUCUAGAUCUCUAGGUGCACCAGAGACCAGAUUUGAAAAUCUCACUUGUUUCCCCUAUUUUUUUCUAUCCACACAGAUCACCUUGUGGGUUACAUCAUAACAGAUGGUGAAAAUGCUAUGCAGCAUACCCACAAUUCUUAGGCACACUUCCACUUAAUCAUACUUGGGUUUCUAUGAGGGCCCCCCCACUGUGAAUGAGCAACUCCUUGACAUUGGGCAAGAGAACACGAGACUCACAGCCAGAGCCUCUGGCUCUGUGAUCUGGCCAUUCUGUGCCAGUCACUUUCCUGCCUGGUUUGCAGAACCAGGUAGGUCUCUGGUUUGGCAUGACAUUUUGGGGGUUCUCUUGUCAUAAUGCACAGACACCACUCAAGAAGACUCUAUAUUCUCCAUAUUACAAGAGGGCAGUGUGCCAGUUUUAGGGUCAGCUGGCUGACUCAGAGAUGAGGAGAUAAUU